rnacentral:lncRNA from 1 species
CUCUAUGGAUUAUCUCCAUCUUCUUCACAGCCUUAAAAUACUAAGAGCUACCUUUCCCAAGACAUUGUGGGCUACGUGAUGCUAAAAAGCCAUCGAAAUCGUACAAGGAUGGGCCAUCUCGAGAUCAGUAUCGACUGUCAAAAGAAACCGUCACCAAUAUGCUGGAAGCCGAAAUGAAGAGGGACAUACAGAGGAUUGAUCAACUUCCUGUUUAUUUGCAGGUGUUGACAACUGUCCAUUUUUAUGCAGUGGGAUCAUUUUAAAAGAUGCAUGGUGAUGAGGCAGCAAUAUCGCAGUCAUCAAUGUGUCAGAAGCUAAAGCAAGAGGCAAUACAUGAAGAUUCCUACAACAAGAGAAGAAGUUGAAGCAACUCGAAGACAGUUCUAUCUAACUGUUAGAUUUCAAGGAGUGAAAGGUGCAAUUG